UACGUAGGGGGCAAGCGUUGUCCGGAUUUAUUGGGCGUAAAGAGCGUGUAGGCGGCCAGACAAGUCUGCUGUGAAAACUCGAGGCUCAACCUCGAGCUGUCGGUGGAAACUGUCUGGCUAGAGUCCGGAAGAGGAGAGUGGAAUUCCUGGUGUAGCGGUGAAAUGCGCAGAUAUCAGGAAGAACACCAAUAGCGAAGGCAGCUCGCUGGGACGUUACUGACGCUGAGACGCGAAAGCGUGGGGAGCGAACAGG
rnacentral:rRNA from 1 species